AUUUAUGUAGUUUAAAAUAAAACAUUAUAUUUUCAAUAUAAUAAUGUAAAUUAAAUUUAUUAUAAAUU
rnacentral:tRNA from 1 species